rnacentral:rRNA from 1 species
GAUGAACGCUGGCGGCGUGCUUAACACAUGCAAGUCGAACGGUGAAGGCGUAGGUUGCUCUGCUGGAUCAGUGGCGAAGGGGUGAGUAACACGUGAGCAAUCUGCCCCUGUCUUUGGGAUAAGCGCUGGAAACGGCGUCUAAUACUGGAUACGAGCUGAGCUGCCAUUUUCAGCAGCUGGACUGAACUGCGGUCAUGGUUGAGCGAGCGGCUUACCAGCUUGUUGGUGAGGUAACGGAUCACCCAGGCGUCGACGGGUAGCCGGCCUGUGAGGGUGACCGGCCACACUGGGACUGAGACACGGCGCAGACUCCUACGGGAGACAGCAGUGGGGAAUAUUGCACAAUGGUCGAGAGCCUGAUGCAACAACGCCGCGUGUGUGAAGACGUCCUUCGGGUUGUAAACCUCUGUAAGCAAAGAAGAAGCGAAUGUGACGGUACCUACAGAAAAAGCGCCGGCUAACUACGUG